rnacentral:rRNA from 1 species
UACGUAGGGGGCGAGCGUUGUCCGGAUUUAUUGGGCGUAAAGAGCUCGUAGGCGGUUUGGUAAGUUGGAUGUGAAAUCUCCAGGCUCAACUUGGAGGGGUCAUUCGAUACUGCCAUGACUAGAGUUCGGUAGGGGAGUGUGGAAUUCCUGGUGGAGCGGUGAAAUGCGCAGAUAUCAGGAGGAACACCGGUGGCGAAGGCGGCGACCUGGACCGACACUGACGCUAAUACACGAAAGCGUGGGGAGCAAACAGG